UACGGGGGGGGGAAGCGUUGUUCGGCAUUACUGGGCGUAAAGGGCUCGUAGGCGGCCAACUAAGUCAGACGUGAAAUCCCUCAGCUUAACUGGGGAACUGCGUCUGAUACUGGAUGGCUUGGAUUCGGGAGAGGAAUGCGGAAUUCCAGGUGUAGCGGUGAAAUGCGUAGAUAUCUGGAGGAACACCGGUGGCGAAGGCGGCAUUCUGGACCGACAUUGACGCUGAGGAGCGAAAGCCAGGGGAGCAAACGGG
rnacentral:rRNA from 1 species